GGCAGUUCUUGGGUGACACACCCCAGAAUCAGGCUCCCUCCUCUCUAGUUCUGGGUGCGUUACCAGAGAACCGCA
rfam:Myotis davidii contig59926, whole genome shotgun sequence.